ensembl:lncRNA
CUGGCUGUGGAGCCUUUGGUUGGGGGUUCGGUCCCCCACUGUGCCUGCACUGGACAAUAUGUCGGGUCCCUUCCAGUUCCCCGGUUCCAAGAUAUACAGGAAUCAUCACUUUGUCCCAGGAAAUGGGAUAACGUUCCAGGCCAUCCUGCUUGUUGUUUCUCUGUUAGGAAUCUUGCUUGUUAAUAGUGUUGACUCUGGCACCCCCUGCUGCCGUCCCGGCGCUUAAUAUGGAUGCCAAGGAUGGGCUUGUUUGUUUUCUGUAGAGGCAUCCAUCUUUCUCCCGGUUACCUCAGGCACAGAAUGUGGCAGGAUCUCCUCUCACCGGCCCAAAGGCUCAAAUUUUGGCCCCAACCCAGUUCCUGCCUCCAAAUGCAUUUCCUUCUUCGGGUGAAGCUCUGAGUGUCGGUGCCGGAACCGCAGGGUCCUUGGCUGUGCAGGCAGGAAUCUCACAGGGCCAGUUUCCUGGUGCAGCUGUUCCUCCCCUCAGACCACACUACGGCCGGCUCUCCGACCCUGCGCUUCCCGCCGCCGUUCCUUCGGCCAGCGUGCUCAUUCCUUGGCCCCAGGCUCCUCUGUGGUUUGCCACUCCGCAGGCAGCGGUCGCUGCUGGUCAGACAGGACCGAAAUCCUUCGUUGGCAUGAUACCCAUCCCAGCAGCCGGCCUGGAUCCGGUUGUGGCAUGGACGCCAAGCGUGCUUUCCUUGAGGCAACCAAGAGAGAGAAACAAGGGCGUAAAUAGCAGCACAGCUCAUGACCCCAGGGCGGUCUCCGCCUGCGCCAAUCCCGGGACUGUUUUGGCUCCUGUCAGCUCUGGACCCUUAGCCCAGGCCGGUGCAAAUCAAAUGCAUGUGGUGGCAGGAGGAAGAAGAGACCAAGAAACGAGUGUGAUCUCAGAGCCGCCUUUCCCAACUUCACUGGGGACUGCAAACCUAUUAAUGAAAGAUGGCACCAGUUACAGCAUUCCAGGAAACCCCACUGGCAGUGUAUCAGGCUCCGGAUUUCCUUCAGAUCCUGGAGUGAGAAGAACCUGGCGCGAGGAAAUUACACUGGAGGAGCGCCACCACUUAGUACAGAAGUUGUAAGUAUAGUUCAAGGAUGCGGACCCUGCCCAUUGGGAUCAGGUGUGUCUGUGGCAUGCAUCACAGUGUGUGGGCUCUUGAGUUUUGAAGGUUGGGGCUUCGAGCAUACAGUACGAUCCUUUAUUCUCCGGAUCAAUAUCCACUGAUUCCCUUAUCCACGGUCUGAAAAUAUUAAAAAUAUUGAAAGAUCCCCAAAAAAGUAAGUAUAGUUCAAGGAUGCGGACCCUGCCCAUUGGGAUCAGGUGUGUCUGUGGCAUGCAUCACAGUGUGUGGGCUCUUGAGUUUUGAAGGUUGGGGCUUCGAGCAUACAGUACGAUCCUUUAUUCUCCGGAUCAAUAUCCACUGAUUCCCUUAUCCACGGUCUGAAAAUAUUAAAAAUAUUGAAAGAUCCCCAAAAUACUGUAUAUAUAUUUAAUGAUGAAGUUCCCAGAACUGGCCAGAAGAGGGAGCCAAAGGCCAUGCUGUGUAUACAGUAGUUUUCUAUUAAAAUAGUGUUUGCUAUAAUCCACAUUUUUCAGCAUCCACGGGGCGGGGGACUAGAAACCAAUCCCCUGAGGAUACUGGGUCAUACUAUAUUAUGAAAGGCUGAAGGGAGAUGAAGUGUGCGGUCAAGGAUUCUGAUGCUUGAGCCAUACAGGACUUUAUAGACCUCCUCUGAAAAAAAAUCAGAAGCCUGCAUUCAUCACAGUUGGCAUUUCUCAGAGUUCAGGGUUAAUCACAGAACAAAAUCAAACAAUCUCAGACAAUCCUAUCAACAUUCAUCUGAGUAUCAAAGUAUAAGUCAUCUUAUUGUUCAGUAAUUACAGGCAAUAAAGGGAGAUGAAGUGGUACA